UCUCAAUCUUCUCUUGUUUAAGUAGACUUUCAGUGUUUGCUGAAAGUUUGGAAAGUUCAUCUGAAAAUCACAAUGUUUAUUUCAAUUCUGGAUGUUAUAUGAGUCUUCAAAUAUUGAAUCUUAGAAUAAGCAAUCAGUGAUCAAUUGAAGUAUACAAUACUUUUAAAAUUAGCACUGUUAGAACUGCCUUGUUGUUUAAUAGAAUAAUAGUCCUGUCUUAUUUAUCCCAGCACACUCUUAAUACAUGAGUUUGAUUAUUCCUGGACACAAAUAAAAUGGAUUUGUUGAGGAACAGGGCAGUUCUAUACAGUACUGACUUAUAGGAGGAUUGUGUUCUUCAG